GCUGAGACUGCGGAACGGCCUUCUAGCCUCCCCUUCCCUUCCUCUGCCCCUCGCAACACCUACCAGCCCUCCGUUUCUAGAAUGUCACCAUUUCAUACUGUUCUAUAAAUGGAGUCUGCAGCCUGGCGCAGCCUGGCGUCUGCUGGGACGAGCUUUUUGUCUCGGUGGAUCUCCCUGGAGAGUCUCCCAAGCUGCUGUGAGAGUCCAGUCUGUCUGGACGUUUGUAGGUAGACUCAGGGAGAGUGGCUGGGAGCAGACCAGACGCAAUCAGGUUGGGGAAUCUGAGGGUGGAAUGUGGGGCAAGCAGCAGCCCCACCCUCCCAGCCCCCAAGUCAUGUGGUCAUGGAGAGGGUGGACGACAUCACUCUAAAGUGCUGGGACGGAGCAUAACUGGUAAGACCGUGCACAGGACACCAGAGAGAUUGGGGCCAGAGUUUGGGUCCAGGUAGAAGGAAGGAAGGGAAUCGGGGACCUUGUGUGUGCCAGGCUCGCCCUCUGUACCAGGUACGGCAGAAAGGAAAGGAUCUAAAGACACGCUUGUGUCUCAGUCUAUCAAGCUACUGAAACGACGGGCACUAGAGAUAUGGGACUUCCCCCAGGAAUGGCAUGCGGAGAGAAGGAAAAGGCACCAGCUCAAGGAGGGGACUUAACGUCGUUGGAAAGAGAUUUCGCCCAGUUCUCCGGAACUGAAGCACAGACACAGAAGGCUCAGUGGUGGGCGGGACCACACCUUGGCCCGGGCUAAAUAGCUGUGCAAGUCCCUGGCUUCUAUUAAACUUUGAUUUCUCCUUAGGGCCAGUGGAUUUUGGUGGCAUUUGCCGGAUCUCUGUGCUUCUCUUCCCAAUGUGGCCACAUUAAAUACAUCUCCCUUUCUGCCUUCCUUUAAAAAAAAAAAUUGAUUCUUUAAA
rnacentral:lncRNA from 1 species